rnacentral:tRNA from 1 species
ACUUAAAUAGCUUAUGAUAAGAGCAUGGCAUUGAAGCUGCUAAGGAGGUAUAAUUUAGACCUUUAGGUA